rnacentral:rRNA from 1 species
UACGGAGGAUGCAAGCGUUAUCCGGAAUGAUUGGGCGUAAAGCGUCCGCAGGUGGCUAUGUAAGUCUGCUGUUAAAGAGUGAGGCUCAACCUCAUAAGAGCAGUGGAAACUACAUGGCUAGAGUGCGUUCGGGGCAGAGGGAAUUCCUGGUGUAGCGGUGAAAUGCGUAGAGAUCAGGAAGAACACCGGUGGCGAAAGCGUUCUGCUAGACCUGUACUGACACUGAGGGACGAAAGCUAGGGGAGCGAAUGGG